rnacentral:rRNA from 1 species
UGACGGUACCGGCAGAAUAAGCACCGGCUAACUCCGUGCCAGCAGCCGCGGUAAUACGNAGGGUGCAAGCGUUAAUCGGAAUUACUGGGCGUAAAGCGCGCGCAGGCGGUUCGGUAAGUCAGAUGUGAAAUCCCCGGGCUCAACCUGGGAACUGCAUUUGANACUGCCNNGCUAGAGUNCGGUAGAGGGGGGUGGAAUUCCNNGUGUAGCGGUGAAAUGCGUAGAUAUGNGGAGGAACACCGNUGGCGAAGGCNACCCCCUGGACCNAUACUGACGCUCAGGUGCGAAAGCGUGGGGAGCAAACAGGAU